GAUGAACGCUGGCGGCGUGCCUAAUACAUGCAAGUCGAGCGAACGGACGAGAAGCUUGCUUCUCUGAUGUUAGCGGCGGACGGGUGAGUAACACGUGGAUAACCUACCUAUAAGACUGGGAUAACUUCGGGAAACCGGAGCUAAUACCGGAUAAUAGUUUGAACCGCAUGGUUCAAAAGUGAAAGACGGUCUGGCUGUCACUUAUAGAUGGAUCCGCGCUGCAUUAGCUAGUUGGUAAGGUAACGGCUUACCAAGGCAACGAUGCAUAGCCGACCUGAGAGGGUGAUCGGCCACACUGGCACUGAGACACGGUCCCGACUCCUACGGGAGGCAGCAGUAGGGAAUCUUCCGCAAUGGGCGAAAGCCUGACGGAGCAACGCCGCGUGAGUGAUGAAGGUCUUCGGAUCGUAAAACUCUGUUAUUAGGGAAGAACAUAUGUGUAAGUAACUGUGCACAUCUUGACGGUACCUAAUCAGAAAGCCACGGCUAACUACGUG
rnacentral:rRNA from 1 species